rnacentral:rRNA from 1 species
AGAGUUUGAUCCUGGCUCAGGAUGAACGCUGGCGGCGUGCCUAAUACAUGCAAGUCGAGCGAACGGACGAGAAGCUUGCUUCUCUGAUGUUAGCGGCGGACGGGUGAGUAACACGUGGAUAACCUACCUAUAAGACUGGGAUAACUUCGGGAAACCGGAGCUAAUACCGGAUAAUAUUUUGAACUGCAUGGUUCAAAAGUGAAAGACGGUCUUGCUGUCACUUAUAGAUGGAUCCGCGCUGCAUUAGCUAGUUGGUAAGGUAACGGCUUACCAAGGCAACGAUGCAUAGCCGACCUGAGAGGGUGAUCGGCCACACUGGAACUGAGACACGGUCCAGACUCCUACGGGAGGCAGCAGUAGGGAAUCUUCCGCAAUGGGCGAAAGCCUGACGGAGCAACGCCGCGUGAGUGAUGAAGGUCUUCGGAUCGUAAAACUCUGUUAUUAGGGAAGAACAUAUGUGUAAGUAACUGUGCACAUCUUGACGGUACCUAAUCAGAAAGCCACGGCUAACUACGUGCCAGCAGCCGCGGUAAUACGUAGGUGGCAAGCGUUAUCCGGAAUUAUUGGGCGUAAAGCGCGCGUAGGCGGUUUUUUAAGUCUGAUGUGAAAGCCCACGGCUCAACCGUGGAGGGUCAUUGGAAACUGGAAAACUUGAGUGCAGAAGAGGAAAGUGGAAUUCCAUGUGUAGCGGUGAAAUGCGCAGAGAUAUGGAGGAACACCAGUGGCGAAGGCGACUUUCUGGUCUGUAACUGACGCUGAUGUGCGAAAGCGUGGGGAUCAAACAGGAUUAGAUACCCUGGUAGUCCACGCCGUAAACGAUGAGUGCUAAGUGUUAGGGGGUUUCCGCCCCUUAGUGCUGCAGCUAACGCAUUAAGCACUCCGCCUGGGGAGUACGACCGCAAGGUUGAAACUCAAAGGAAUUGACGGGGACCCGCACAAGCGGUGGAGCAUGUGGUUUAAUUCGAAGCAACGCGAAGAACCUUACCAAAUC